ACCUGGUUGAUCCUGCCAGUAGCAUAUGCUUGUCUCAAAAGAUUAAGCCAUGCACAUGCAAGUACACACAGCCGGUACAGUGAAACUGCAAAUGGCUCAUUAAAUCAGUUAUGGUUCCUUUGAUCACUCCAUCUGUUACUUGGAUAACUGAUAAUUCUAGAGCUAAUACAUGCCGACGAACGCAGACCUCCCGGGAUGCGUCAACUUUCGCUGGUACUUUCUGUGCCUACCAUGGUGACCACGGGUAAUGAGGAAUCAGGGUUCUAUUCCUUAGAGGGAGCCUAAGAAACAGCUACCACAGCCAAGGAAGGCAGCAUGCGCGCAAAUUACCCACUCCCGACUCUGGGAGGUAGUGAUGAAAAAUAACGAUACAGGACUAUUUCGAGGCACUGUAAUUGGAAUGAGUACACUUUAAAUCCUUUAACGAGUACCCAUUGGAGGGCAAGUCUGGUGCCAGCAGCUGCAGUAAUUCCAUCUCCAAUAGCAUAUAUUAAAGUUGCUGCAGUUAAAAAGCUCGUAGGUGAUCGAGCUGGCGGUAAUGGAAUAGAACUCUGGUUCUAUUUUGUUGGUUUGCAGAACUGGGGCCAUGAUUAAUAGGGACUGCCGGUGGCAUUCGUAUUGUGCCGCUGCAGAGGAGAUUCCUGGAUCGGCGCUAGACGAACCAAAGUGAAUGCAUUAUCCAAGAAUGUUUUCAUUAAUCAAGAACAAAAGUCUGAGUUUCGAAGGCGAUCCGACACCGUCAUAGUUCCAACCAUAAACUAUGCCGACUAGAGAUCUGGCGGCGUUAUUCCCAUGACCCACUGAGCAGUUUCCGGGAAACCAAAGUCUUUGGGUUCCGAGGGGAGUAUGGUUGCAAAGCUGAAACUUAAAGGAAUUGAUGGAAGGACACCACCAGGAGUGGAGCCUGUGGCUUAAUUUGACUCCGCACCGGAAACCUCACCCGGCCCGAACACGGAAAGGAUUGAUAGAUUGAUAGCUCUUUCUCAAUUCUGUGGGUGGUGGUGCAUGCCCGUUCUUAGUUGGUGGAGCGAUUUGUCUGGUUAAUUCCGAUAACGAACAAAACUCCUCCAUGCUAACUAGUUAAGCGACCCCCCUCCACCCAGAGGUCGGCGUUCAACUUCUUAGAGGGACAAGUGGCGUUCAGCCACACGAGAUCGAGCAAUAACAGGUCUGUGAUGCCCUUAGAUGUCCGGGGCUGCACACGCGCUACACUGAAUGGAUCAGCGUCUGUCUACCCUUUGCCGACAGGUGCGGCUAACCUGCUGAACCCAGUUUGUACUAGGGAUUGCACUUAUUUCCCAUGAACGAGGAAUUUCCUUUAGGUGCGGGUCAUAAGCUUGUGUUGAUUAAGUCCCUGCCCUUUGUACACACCACACGUCGCUAUUACUGAUUUGGAUGGUUUAGUGAGGUCCUCGGAUCGGCCCCGCCGGGGUCGGCAACAGCCCUGGCGGAGUGGCGAGAAGACAAUCAAACUUGGCUAUCUAGAGGAAGUAAAAGUCGGACGGGUCAAGUUAACCUGCCAGGGACAU
rnacentral:rRNA from 1 species